UCAAAGUCUCCCUUAACCACAAGUGGCCUGAACUCUUUACCUGAACACCACCCUGUACAUAAGUCCAUGUCCCCCUACAUGGCCUUGCUUUUUGCUUUUUGAGCCAAAGAAUUAACUAACUAACUAACCUAGAGUUCAUGGGCCCGCAGCUCUUCAAUGCCUUGCCACAAAAAUUAUGAGAUCUGCAUAAGGUGGAAGUAGAUGUCUCCAAAAAGAAACUAGACAUCCUCUUCUCCACAAUAACGGAAGAAGCAAAAGCCCGACAUGACGAGGGCAAUGAGGGAAUCAAACUCCCUUAUACCCCAAAUGAGCCAACAGCCGGGACAAAGGCACAUGCAAGGGUGGUUAUGUGACACACCAAAGACUGAGGAAAUAAGCAAAACCACGGUGGAGCUCCAGCAGAUCCGCAGCCGCAGGGCUGAAACGAAUAAAAGGAUGAAAUUAUAGAAAUAUAAAAUUAUAAACACAAACAUACACACACACACAAAUACACACACACACACAUAUAUAUACAUACAUAUGUAUGUUUGUUUAUGUUUAUCCAUCAAUUGUCAAUAUAAAUUGCUUCUCUGUUAGUAUAGAGAGGGGGAAGAGAUCAAGAGAGAUAUUCGUAUUAGGCUUCGUGACUGACAAUGAGUAACGCGCACACACACUCACACACACAUACACACACGUGUGUGUGCGUGUCUGAGGGUGGAGAUAUCUAAUUUCUAUAGAAAAGUCAUGUAUGUAUGUAUAUGUGUGUAAAUAUAUAUAUAUAUAUAUAUAUAUAUAUAUAUAUAUAUAUAUAUACAUGUGUGUGUGUGUAUGCGUAUAUACUUAUUUAUAUAAGUAUAUAUACACACACAACCAUAAUAUAUAUAUAUAUAUAUAUAUAUGUAUACCCACGACAGGGUUAUUUCAGUUUCCAUCAAACGAAUCCAUUCUCUAGGCUUGGGUCGGUCCAUGCCGAAAGUGUCACGGAGUGGGACUGAAUCCAGGAGCAUAUAUACAAAUUUAAAUCUAUAUUUUUCUAUAUAUACAUAUGUAUGUGUGUGUAUUUGUGUCUGUUUGUGUCUGUGUGUGUAUGCGUGUGUAUGUAUAUAAAUACGUAUGUGCAUGUUUAUGUGUGUGUGUAUAUAUAUAUAUACACAUAUAUACAUAUAUACAAACACACACACACACACACACACACAUAUAUAUAUAUAUAUAUAUAUAUACAUAUGCAUAUAUAACUAGAUAUACAUGUAUGUAUGAGUGUCUAUAUAUACAUACGUAUGCAUGUAUGUAUGCACAUAUUUGUGUAUAUUUAUAUAUAUGUGUGUGUGUGUGUGUAUGAAUUGGCAAUAAUUCUAUUAGCUUGUUACAUGACAUAUAGUCGACGACAAUUACUUUGACCUCUGCCGUUUCAGAUAUUUCCAUUAGAAAUCAAUAAAGUGAUCAUCUUUUAUUCAUGUAUAAUUUUUGGAGAACAGUCUAUGUGUGUAUACAUAAAUGCAUGUGUAUGUAUGUAUAUGUUUAUGAGAGUGUGUGAGUGUGUUUGCGUGGGUUUGGGGGUGUGUUCAUUUAUACAGGUAGACAUACAAAUACAAAAGCAUUCACAUAUACAGACACACACACACACACACACACAUAUAUAUAUAUAUAUGCAUGUAUAUAUAUCUAUGCAUGCACACAUAUAUAUAUAUAUAUACACAUAAAUAUAUGUAUAUAUAUAUAUAUAUAUGCUUAUAUAAAUGCAUAUAUAUAUACUUAUACUUUAUAUGUAAAUUUUACAAAUUAUUUUAUAAUUAUAUAUAUAAUUAUAAUUAUAUACAUAAUUAUAACAAGGGUUCAGCUUGUUUAUAUAUAUAUAUAUAUAUAUAUAUAUAUAUAUAUAUAUAUACACUAACACAGACACACACACACACAAUACGUUCUCCACUAAAGUUUUGAGCCUGAAAUUUGCGUGUGAGAUAUAAUUUGGUCAUUCUGGAAAGCUAAAUACAACCGUAGAUGUGUAGCUAACAAGGACCGUAAGUCAUAUAUACACAUCUAAUGCAAAUGUUCGGUCAGAGUUAGUGUUAUCAGUGCUCAACGUAACAUUUUAAAGCAGCGAAUAUUCUUCGAUAUCGUUUGAUAUCAUCAUAAAGUGAUCAGUAAACGCUAUAUGAGAAUACGUGAGUCUGCUUAUAACUAGGUGUGUAUGUACCUCGAAGCAAUCUCCGGGCUCUGGGCACAUGGCCUAUUUGAAAUUAAAUUGAACAGGCGCAGGAGUGGCUGUGUGGUAAGUAGCUUGCUUACCAACCACAUGGUUCCGGGUUCAGUCCCACUGCGUCUUCUACUAUAGCCUCGGGCCGACCAAAGCUUUGUGAGUGGAUUUGGUAGACGGAAACUGAAAGAAGCCCUUUGCAUAUAUGUAUAUAUAUAUAUGAGCGUGUGUGUAUGUUCGUCCCCCCCCCUCCAACAACGCUUGAGAUCCGAUGCUGGUGUGUUUACGUCCACCUAACUUAGCGGUUCGGCAAAAAGACACCGAUUGAAU
rnacentral:lncRNA from 1 species